CAAAACUUUCACGCCAGAUGUGAUUAAGUUUGGCCUUGGGAUCCCAAAAAUCAUUCGUCACCCUUAAUUUCUCCGCAAACAUUUCAAUUUCAUAUAUUUUUUUUUCUUCGAGGGGGGAAAACAGAAAAGAAUGUGAGUUAAAACAAUGUUAGCGUAAAUGAAUAUUUGAGAGAUAUGGGCGUCAACCUAUGGGGAUAUGAGGGUGGUAAGAUGGGCGAUGUUUCUUCAAUGGAGAUGUGGUGGCUGAUUAAUAUAAGAGCUACUCUAAUUGCUCUUCUUUUUAUAUCCAUUUUUUAUUUUUCCAAGAAGAUUUAUGUUAAAUUCCUUACAAUAUCGACAUCUCCUUCUUCUUCUUCUUCUUUAUUAUCAUCUACUCUUCAUCUUCCUUCUGCUUCUUCACCCAUUUCCAAUCAAGAUUCUCAAUCAAGAACCCUAGAGGUUGUGUCUGAUUCAGAUUUGAAGUUUUUAAUUGAUAAUUUGGAUGAGAAGCGCAAUGAGGACGAAAAUUGGGAGAAUGUAAUCGACAAGAAAAACAACUUUCUAUCCUACAAAGCCAAGUGCUGCAAAUCGAAGGAUAGACCAUUGACAUACCUGAGCACAACCGUUUUUGAGUGUUGCUCCCCGGAGCUUCUAAGGGACUUCUAUAUGGAUAAUGAUUAUAGACAGCAGUGGGAUAAGACCAUUCUUGACCAUGUGCAACUGCAGGUGUACACAGCAAGUGGAAUUGAAAUUGGUCGCACAAUAAAAAAAUUUCCACUUUUAACACCUAGAGAGUAUAUAUUGGCUUGGAGAUUGUGGGAGGGAAAAGAUGCAACUUUAUACUGUUUCAUCAAGGACUGUGAACAUCCAUCAGCACCACGACAGAAGAAGUAUGUUCGCGUGGAAUAUUUUAGAUCUGGUUGGCAGAUCAGGAAAGUACCUGGUAGAGAUGCUUCUGAGAUCAGAAUGUUUCACCAAGAAGAUGCUGGUCUGAAUGUAGAAAUGGCAAAACUAGCAUUUGCGAAGGGCGCGUGGAGUUUUUUGUGUAAGAUGGAUAAUGCACUACGCAAUUAUUCUUCGAUCACCCAUCCUCCGUCUACACCAUCUGUUUCGGCAGCCACUCUGAUUCAGAAGGUUCCACCUGAUUUGGAUUAUAGAACUGACAUUACUUCAGCAGUCUCUACAUCAGUAGCCUAUAAUGACGAAUCCAAAAAGAAAAAGUUAUUAGAAAGACCAUCAAAGAAGUUUGUGGCAAAAGCAUUGCUUCUUCUUGGGGGUGUGAUCUACCUAUGUCGUGCGCACUCCGCCCUGGGUACCAAAGUUACAGUGGCAUACAUUUUAACAAAAUUGAGAAAACGCGAUGAUACGUCGAGACAGGGCAGCCAUAGUUGAGUGGUUGCUACUAGAUUGAGAAGGAUGAUUGGAACAAACAUUCUGAGUCGAGGUAAAGGUACUCUCAAUUUCUAUGGAUUGACUCAGCAUGCCGGAGGUGUAGGAGUAAUGUGUUUUAAGCCAGGCUAAUAAAUUGAUUAUGCAAAUACUUAAAUUUGUAAACUAUUUUGGACUACAAAAUUUUUUAGAGGAAUUGUGGUACAAACUUGGUUCUGGGUUUUCGCAGCCUGCUAUUAGACUGAAUUUUAGAAAUUUUGGGAUCUUAUUUCUGACUUUUUUUUUACGUAUCUUCAAUACUAUUUUGUAUUCUAAUUGGCUAAACUAAAA